GCCGACGUAGCUCAGCUGGUAGAGCAAUGCUUUCGUAAAGCAGAGGUCGUGGG
rnacentral:tRNA from 1 species